rnacentral:rRNA from 1 species
GACGAACGCUGGCGGCGUGCCUAAUACAUGCAAGUAGGACGCAGUUGCGAACGGGUGAGUAACGCGUAGGUAACUGCAUAUUCGAGGGGGAUAACUAUUGGAAACGAUAGCUAAUACCGCAUACUAGUAGAUGGACCUGCGUUGGAUUAGCUAGUAAGUCGUGUAAUGGCCUACCUAGGCGACGAUACAUAGCCGAGCUGAGAGGGUGAUCGGCCACACGGGGACGGAGACACGGCCCAGACUCCUACGGGAGGCAGCAGUAGGGAAGCUUCGGCAAUGGGGGGAACCCUGACCGAGCAACGCCGCGUGAGUGAAGAAGGUUUUCGGAUCGUAAAGCUCUGGUGUUAAGGAAGCGGUACUUAACAAGAAAGGGACGGCUAACUACGUGCCAGCAGCCGCGUAAUAC